GUGCAUGCUUCAGCAGCACAUAUACUAAAAUUGGGACUAUACAGAGGAAAUUAGCAUGGGCCCUGUGCAAAGAUGACACACAAAUUUGUAAAGCGUUCCAUAUUUUU
ensembl:snRNA U6 U6 spliceosomal RNA